AAAAUCGGAACUUUUGUCUAAAACUAAGGUUUUUAUUUGAAUUUGAAUUUUGCAUAAUUCUUUAACAUAAUAAAUUAGAAGCUUGGGGGCACGAAAAAUUUACUUUUAUUAAUGGGUUUAAAUAGUUAACUGUUACAAAGAGACCCAUUAACAUAUUCCAUAGUUCAACAAAUCUUCAUCUUAAAUUCCCAAGAAAAAAGUCGUACGUCAAAUGAGAAGCAUCUAAUUUUCGGGUGAGGUUAUUGAUGCACUUCUCCCAAUCUCGUGUUGAUGAUCCCAAUAAAUAUAUGCACCCUUUCGGUAAUUCAACUACCAACAAAACUAACCUCACCCACCAAAUAUAUGAACAAAGAGAUUAAAAUUUCAAUAAAGCAAAAA